rnacentral:lncRNA from 1 species
AGGCUCUAAGCUGCUGCCAGCUUCUCUGGAGGAUGGAGAAGCUGACAGAACACAGUGGGUUGCAGAGCGAACAGAGAUGAUAGGAAAGUCAAGGAAACAAGUUUAAUUCAACCGAGGUUCUGAGCACUGAUCUCAGGUCCAAUGAGCUUGCCCGGCAAGCACUUCCUGCCUCAGCCUCCCCCAGUCCUGCUAUGGAGUCUUUAAAGAGGUAGUGAUGCCAUCAGCAUAGGCGUACAUCAGCAGUGCUAGUGUCCAUGCAAGAAGAGGCCACUGGUGCACACAUGCUCACACUGGUGAGUCUAUGGGGUGGCACCAGGAGAGUGAGCAGGAAGACUCCGCUGACAGCUGGAUCUCAGACUUCUGAUCUCCAAGUUGGCCAGAAAAUAAAAUUCUAUUGUUGAAGCGC